GGAGGGGUACUCAAGCGGUCAACGAGGGCAGACUGUAAAUCUGCUGGCUCUGCCUACGUAGGUUCGAAUCCUACCCCCUCCACCA
rnacentral:tRNA from 1 species